CUGUGAACAGACUGGUAUUCUCAUAGAUGCUGUCAAAAUCCUUGGAGUCUAAGGUCUUGUUUGCACUCUUGUCAUUUUCAUUUUAUUCCAUUGUUUCAGUUCCAGUCGUCCUGAAAUAAUCUUUAUGUGUUUCCUUGAUACACACUUCCCCCUCCAAGAUUUACAAGAGUCAAAAGUGAUUUUUUUGCUGAAUUUGCUCCAGUGGCCAUAUGGACAUAUGGACCCCAACAGGUAUUACUCAAUUUACCGAAAAAAGUAAGGGUGGGUUAAGCAAAAUUACAUUUGAAAUAUUCUGUGCUUAUUUGGCUCACACACUUUAAAUUAUGGUAGUGUUCUGAUCAGACUCACAGUUCAAUAGGAUAGCAAGGGAAACAGAAGGCUAUAUCUUUUUUUCUUAAGACUGUGGAGUCUUAAGAAACAAAAAGUUUCAGGAAAUUGGAUUUGAAACACAGGAGCAGAUACAAGAGUUGCAGGAGCAACCUUCUUUAUAAGACUUCUGCCAAGCCAGCCUAAUCUUUUAAUUAGCUCAGCCACUGAUUUUAAUCAGAAAGGAAUGAGAAUUUUAGCACAGCACACAAAUAUUUGAUUUUGGGAGAUGUGCAGGGAUGGAUGGACAGCUUGAUCUCCACACUUGUUGCAGUAGAUAUGCAAUGUGAACUGGUGGUAUUUUUUGUUAUUAUCAGAAUAAUUCACAUUUCUUCUUCUAUUUCUUCUUCCUGUUCCUUUUUGUGUGUGUUAAAUUUUGAAAAAUAAUAAUAAAAGGAAAGUGUCCCAAGGGGAAACGUUUAAGCACUCCUCCAUCUUCUCCAAACUAGGC